ACGGAGGAUGCAAGCGUUAUCCGGAAUUAUUGGGCGUAAAGGGUCCGCAGGUGGUCAUUCAAGUCUGCUGUCAAAGCGUGGAGCUUAACUCCAUAUCGGCGGUGGAAACUGAGUGACUAGAGUUCGGUAGGGGUCACGGGAAUUCCCAGUGUAGCGGUGAAAUGCGUAGAUAUUGGGAAGAACACCGGCGGCGAAAGCGCGUGACUGGGCUGAGACUGACACUGAGGGACGAAAGCUAGGGGAGCGAAAGGGA
rnacentral:rRNA from 1 species